GUGCUGAAAGGCUACUUAGAUGGGUAACUAGAAGAAUAUCUAGGAGAAGACAUGGGUGAGCCUAGUGGAGCUUGGACCUCCUUUGUAUGGUGUUGGAAUCCUCUGUUCACCACAUCGAACAGCAGUAUGUACUGGGAGUUGCUCUUUUCUUCUGCCCGGGCUUCUGCAAAGCAAUGGAGGCAUGGAAGUCAUAAGGCCCUCUGUCUGCUUUUAUCUGAUGAGAUGCUGGACAAAGUUCAUUGCCACCAGGAGUCAGAGUCACUGGGAAAAAUGCACAGUGAAGGAAGUUGGCUGUGGUAGGAUUGCACAACAAAUCAAGAAUCAAGCAAGAAUGAGAGGAAGGAACCAAGGCCUCAGUAUACCAUAUAAGGGUAUGACUCCAGAUGCCCUAACUCAUUCCAACCUACCUGUUCUCCUACCUCCUCCUAUGCCUUACCACGGGGAAGUUUAUGUGAUCAUUUCAUAUCUAAACAUUGGCAGCUAACAGAAAACCAGUGUGUAAGCAAAGUAGAAACAAACCUACAAACCUUGUAACCUGCUCAAAUCUCCAUGGCUCCUGAGGAAGCUGUGACCUCUCCAGGGACAUUUUUCCCCAGGCACCUCCAUUCUUUUCUACAACUCAUAAAUAGUGGGAACCCCAAAGAGAAGACAAAGAGAAGGUUAUCUGAUACACUGGUGAGUAUUCAAGUUGCCCUAAAGUAAGAGAGGAAAAAAAUACAUGAUCAGAAAUCAUUGAAAAACAUCCAAAGGUCAUUCUCUGCUACUUAUAUAUCUGGAGUCAUGGCUCUCUCAAUGUACACUCUUUGGUUGGUGGUUUGUUUCUUGGGAGAUCUGGGUGGUCCAAUUAGCUGGUAUUUUUCUUCCUGUGGGGUUGCAAUCCCCUUCAGCUCCUUCAGUCCUUUCCCUAGCUCUUUCCCUGGGUUCCCCAGGCUCAGUCUGAUGGUUGGCUGUGACUGUCUGCAUCUGUAUUUGUCAAGUGCUGUCAGAACCUCCCAGGGAUAACCAUACCAAAUUCCUGUCAGCAAGCACUUCUUGGCAUCAGCAAUAAUGUGUUAUCUGGCAUCAGUGGGAGAGGAGGCCCGUGGUCCUGUGGUGACUUGAUGUCCCAGAGUCAUAGGACGCUAGAGUAGUGAGGCCAGAGUGGGUGAGUUGGUGGAGAAGCACCCUCAUAGAUGCAAAGGGAAGGGGGCAUGGGAUGAGGGAAUUGUGGAGGUGAAACCAGGAAGGUGAAUAACAUUUGAAAUAUAAACAAAUACAAUGAAUAAAAAUUCAAAGGUAGUUAUGUUCUGUUCCCUAGGAGGUAAAUAAAGAUUUGACACUGUUAACUGUGAUAUAGGUAUUGUUUUUGUUCUAUAUCAAAAAUGUGCAUACCAGUUUCUUCACUGGAAUUUUCAAAGCUAACUAGCAAGAUUAUUGGCCAAUCAAGUGCAUUUCUCACUACUAACUGUUAUAAAUAUCAAUUACUGAAAAGUGAUUACUCGAGGGCACAGUCAAUAUGAAAAACAGCCCAAGCUUAGAUCAUACAAUAAUUGUACAACAAAGGAAGAAACCAUUUUCCAAAAAUGACGUUGUAAAGAGUUUGGUAGAGAUUGGGAGACAGUCUGAGACAAGUACUCCAAUUAACUCUCCCUGAAACUACUCUCUAAUAAAGCAGUUUUGGUACUCAUGAUUUUUUUCCACAUUUCUUUCCCUUGCUUUCUAUGACCUGGACCUCAUUUCUAUGACAUUUCUGGAAGUCUCAAUAGAAAACACACAGAAUUCCAUAUAAGUAAUUCACAUCUAUUUGUGAAGCUUUAACAACUAUUACUCAUAGAAUUCAUAAGAUGCUGAUACAAAAUGUAAUUUUAUUCACUUCAUGUAUUGUUUAUUGAUCAUUAUUCUCCUGAAAGGGAAGAGGCAAACUUUAUUGGUUUUGGCUUUGAACACAAUAGAUAUACAGCAACUUCUCCAAACUUUUACUUUAAGAAACUCUUUUUAUUUUUAUUUUUAUUUUUAUAUUUUUUUAUUAACUUGAGUAUUUCUUAUUUACAUUUCGAAUGUUAUUCCCUUUCCAGGUUUCUGGGCCAACAUCCCCCUAACCCCUCCCCCUCCCCUUCUUUAUGGGUGUUCACCUCUCCAUCCUCCCCCCAUUACCUCCCUCCUCCCGAAACUCUUUCAAUUUUAAAGAAAAAAAUUGUUCCAGGUCUCUGGUACAUUCUAGAGGGUCCCCCCACUUCCCACCUUUUGAGGUUGCCUAUUUCCAUCAUUCUAAUGGCCUUCAGGGCUUCAUUCCUGUCUACCCCAACACUGGAUCAUGUUCCCCUUUUCCCCUCUUUCUCCCUUCUUCUACCCAGGUUCCUCCUUCCCUCUGCCCCACCUCAGUGAUUUCUUUCUUUUCUAUUCCAAGUAGGAUUGAAUCAUCCUCAUUUGGGUCCUAUGGCUUGUUAGCCUUCUUCAGUUCUGUGGAUCAUAUCCUGGGUAUUCUGUACUUUUUGACUAAUAUUCACUUAGUGAGUACAUAUCAUGCAUGUUCUUUUGGGUCUGAUCCUCAUUCAGGAUGAUAUUUUCUAGUUUCAUCCAUUUGUGUGCAAAAUUCAUGAUGUCCUCAUUCUUAAUAGCUGACUAG